rnacentral:tRNA from 1 species
GCGCUUGUAGCUCAGCGGAAGAGCACCGGUCUACGGAGCCGGGUGUCGGGGGUUCGAGUCCCUCCUGGCGCG